GUGUAGCCCUGGAAUACGCGGGCCUUUUUUGGAACAAGGAAAGUGAGCGGAAGCAUUGGCGGAGCAGCCGGCGAUCCGUUUCGGAUUCCCCAUUUCUUGUUGUGAUUCCUGUGCGCGGAUUUUGCCUGAUAACAAACGAUUCUGCGCAAGCAAUGGGGCAGGCAGUUUGGCCCAGCCGUUUUGAGCAUUCACUCAGUUGUGCUGAUCCUGAGCUACCUUCCGCAUCUGCUUCACCUGCUGGUCAAACAUCGUCACUACGUCUACAUGACCAAAUUCUCUGAGGAGCGAAACUCUGGAAAAGAAGAGCUAUGGAUACCAACAAAAUUAAUAAACUUCGAUUGGACCUAGGAGGGAUCUCGAUUGGGAAAGGUAGAUGUUAAGGUGGCAGCUUCACCCCAGACCCUGGCAUCAUUGUACCGGGAGCCUGGAGUAUGAUGGUGGAGGUUCCGCCCAAGUCCCUCCCCAUCUCCCUCCAAUCCCUGCAGCAUCUCAGAAAGUCCUCCAAAUGAUGACCCCCUUCCCCAGAGAUGCUCAAGACCACUGCCACAGACUAUUUAAACUGCCCUCCCCCCACCCCCCCAGAAACCAGACUCAUGGUUUUUCUGGUCUUCCUUUCCUGUCUCCUCUCAGGGGGACUAGAAGGCUAUCCAGGAGCGCUGUAGCCAUUGAAGGUGGGCUUUUUCUAAUUCGGUUUGAUUUGGUCUGAUUUGGAUUGCUGCAUCGGCAGAGAGCCUUAUCAAGGUGUAGAAACUUUUCAUCUGGAGGUUCCAUCAAGGGGGCUGUUUUUUACCCCCACUGACCCUUUUCCCCCAUACCUGCUCUCUGCCAGGGUUAGGUCAGCUUUCGACUGGAUAAGUUGAACUUUCCCAGUCAUUACCUUAGAAGCCCAGGGCCUCCUGUGAUGUUUUUGGGUGUCCUGUGAAAGACAUGCCGUGCCAGGCCCUGGAUCUGUUAGUGGGACAAGGACCUGCCUUGUCCAGUGAGAACCCUUCUUCAGAAGACGUUCUGCUCAAGAGAUUCUCCCAGACCCCCCUCUGUUUCUGACCCAAGGCCUGCCACAGUGGGCGCGUUGUGUUAUGCUUUGGGUUCUGGCAUAGACUUGUGAAAUGGACACCUGCCCUUCGAAGCCAGAUCUCCAAGCAUCCUUGCGCUGCCUUUUUCAAAGUCUUUAAAUUGGGGCUGUCUGACGCCAUUUGCUCGGAACGCCUGAUUUUUCUGUGCACUGAAGCCUGGCCUCAAUGUGCCCUUCACAAUGGGACAUGAUGGUCACUGGAGAGAACUUUUUGACUUUACUAUCCUCUGUGACCUUGAAAACUUGCCCUUGUGAGGGCAAAUGGCUAGAACUACAGAAAGUCCAUGGCUUCUGGAUACUGCGCUCACGCUCUUCCCUCAGUAGCCAGUAUCUCACAGCACUGGUCUUGUUGGCUAGGUCAAGGAGCCUCCAGAUUCCCACCUGUCUGGGAACUGGGACUCUGAAAAUUACCUCAAGGAACAGGUGCUCUCUGAGGUUUCCAGGAUGGCAGCUAAUCAGAUGUUUCUCCACCCACACCUUCCGCUGAGUGAGAACCCACCAACUCCUGACUCUCCCACUCCCCCACACCGUCCCUUGUCAGCAGGAGGAAGCCAGACAUGAACCGGCAUCCAUAUACCAAAAGAAUCUGGGAUGUUAUGGUGGAAGUUCCACCCAAGCCCCGUUCCCCCAUCUCCUUCCAAACCCUGCAGCACCUCAGAAAGCCCAACAAACGAUGGCCCCUCACCCAGAGAUGCUCAAGACCAUUCACACAGGGUAUUUAAACUGCCCCCCAGAGAACAGACUCAUGGUUUUUCAGGUCUCCCUUUCCCAUCUCCUCUCCGGGAG